rnacentral:rRNA from 1 species
AGAACGGCUCUAGCUUGCUAGAGUGUCAGCUAAGUGGCGGACGGGUGAGUAACGCAUAGGUGUACGUACCUUGUAGUCUGGGAUAACAGUUGNAAACGACUGCUAAUACCGCAUAACGUCUACGGACCAAAGGGGGCUUCGGCUCUCGCCCUUAGAUUAGCCCAAGUGGGAUUAGCUAGUUGGUGAGGUAAUGGCUCACCAAGGCGACGAUCCCUAGCUGGUUUGAGAGGAUGAUCAGCCACACUGGAACUGAGACACGGUCCAGACUCCUACGGGAGGCAGCAGUGGGGAAUAUUGCACAAUGGGCGCAAGCCUGAUGCAGCCAUGCCGCGUGUGUGAAGAAGGCCUUAGGGUUGUAAAGCACUUUCAGUAAGGAGGAAAGGUUAGUAGUUAAUACCUGCUAGCUGUGACGUUACUUACAGAAGAAGCACCGGCUAACUCCGUGCCAGCAGCCGCGGUAAUACGGAGGGUGCGAGCGUUAAUCGGAAUUACUGGGCGUAAAGCGUACGCAGGCGGUUUGUUAAGCGAGAUGUGAAAGCCCCGGGCUCAACCUGGGAACUGCAUUUCGAACUGGCAAACUAGAGUAUGAUAGAGGGUGGUAGAAUUUCAGGUGUAGCGGUGAAAUGCGUAGAGAUCUGAAGGAAUACCGAUGGCGAAGGCAGCCACCUGGGUCAAUACUGACGCUCAUGUACGAAAGCGUGGGGAGCAAACGGGAUUAGAUACCCUGGUA